rfam:Clostridiaceae bacterium BRH_c20a BRHa_1001033, whole genome shotgun sequence.
AUAAAAUAUAAUAUUUCGCUGUAGACAGUAGGUGCCGUUAUUGGCUUAAUUUCCUGCCGAGGCUAAUUUUAGGAAAAUAUUCCUGAAGUUUUCUUGCCUCCGUAUUGUCAGCGGGGGCAAUUUUAGUUUAGUCGA